ensembl:lncRNA
AGUAAAUGGAAAGAUGCCAGAAAACAUACACACGCUGAGGGAUGUUUUACGUUAUCUGUAGCAAUGAGAGGGCGGUUUGGGUUUGAGUUCCUGCCAAACUUGAGCCUCCACACACAGCUCCCCAAGCAGCAGCUGCUCAAACUGAUUGCAGCACAAAACAGCUGACUUUGAACUUCCAGACCUUUUCGUCAACACUGGAACAGCUGCGGCUGAAAAGAAUGAAAGGGGCAGGACUCAGAAGCAGACGCAGGCAAGACGAGGUCGGGUGAAGAAUAUAAGGUUUACUGAAGCGGGUUUUCGGUACACUGUCCUCAGUCAACCGGCAACGGGGGCCAAAUCGGCAGGCAAAACGCAAAGGUGGCGUCCGCCGAACGCCGUGGAUCCAGGAAUCAGCACCAUGCGGAGAUGAAAAGAUCAAACUUCUUGUUCAUUACUUUAUGUAAUCCUUUCCCCGUCCGUAGAGGGUUGGUGAGCCUCGAGCAAUACUCAAGAUGCCCAAACGUUGUUAGCAGACUAUUUAUUAAGGUUAUUUGGGUUUUUGGUUGAUCUAGACUGAAAUACCUCAACAACUGGAUAUAUUUCCACUAAAGUUUGGUAGUUCCAUUCAUGGUCCUCAGGGGAUGACCCAACAAUGACCUUGUCAAGGAGAUCUGACCUUCCUGGGAGUCAUGACUGACACAUGGCCGCCUCGAAUAUCAUACGUCAUGUUGAAAUAACUGAAUUCCUUUCUGGUUUUAAUCCAUGCUGUGGAUGCUGUUCGUUUCUCACAAGUGCAAUGAGGAAAAGUUUUGUUUUUGGUGUAAUGUAUUUUGAGAAGGCACAGACGAUAUAAACCAUAUAGAUUUAAGUUUUCACAUCUGCAAUAUUGCAGAUGUGAUGCGCACCUGCAUCUAUUUACUGAUGUACAGACAGACACCAGCAUGUAAGUUACUCUGGAGCACUCUGAUGCACUUUGGUAGAAGAAUGGACAUCUACUGUACACAAAGAAGGGUUUUCUUUUCAGGACAACCAGCAGACGCCCAAUACAUCAACACGUUCCUCAAAGGGCUGUUGGCAGCGGCUCAGACAUCCCGGCGUUGCAGGGAAUAGUCUGUGUCAUUUCAGCUCGAAACUGGAUGCGACCCUCCUCCACCCGAAGCACCUCCAGCCAGCUGUCAGUCACGCUUACAGUCACCACCACCAGCAGUGUCUGGACUGCAGGGGGGGUUCUGGCGGCAUCACGGCCCCUUGAUUAUCCCGGUUUAGGAUGGAGUCCAAACGCCACCGAUUUGGAACGAGUCUCUUGAUUGGAAUGUGUGUCGUAAAGGGGCAUUUGCUGAACGAUUCAGUCACUUGGAGGCCAGUCUCUGUCAAAUAUGUGCAUUAAAUACCAAGUGCAGAGCAGUAUGUUCAAAAUGAUUGUGUUUUAUGUUAAACGGUAAAGUACCAAUAAAGUACAUUUCAAUACA